AUGGAUCAACCAAUCAAGUUACCAUCUUUUAAUGAAAAAGAUGUAGAAUUUGCUCAAAAGAUUUUUCGACUUGGAAGAGACAAUGCCUUAAAUCUAAGGAUAACAUAUGCUAGAGCAGAAUAUCUGAAUCCAACCAUGUAUGAACGGUACCACAAUAUAUAUUUCCGUUCUCCAGAUGGCCAUGGCGAUGAUAAUGAGUAUGACAAUGGGGGGCCAGUUAUUGACUUGGGUGGAAAAGUGGUCGGAAUGGUCAAUGACCUUGAGAGAUUUGAGUCUUUUAUACCUUCUUCCAUUGUGCUCAAUUGUUUGGAUUCAUGGAGGAAAUAUCGGCAUUUCGCCCGGCCCCAUCUUGGAAUGACGUUUAAGGCCAUCGAACUUCUAGAACCUUCUCAUGUUGACAUGUUAUGGCGUAUGUAUAACAUUGAUGACGGUCUUGUUGUUCAAGAGGUGUCAAAAGGAUCUAAUGCUGAGAUACUCGGAAUCCAAAAAGGUGAUGUUAUUGAAUCUAUCAAUGGAAAACGUGUUUCUACAACAAUUCAGUUCGAAAAUAUGCUGAUGAGCACAUGCAAGGUCCCUUCAGGUGUUGAAGUUCAUAUUUCUGUUGGGGUGUUUCACACACUCAAAAAAGAAUGA
rnacentral:rRNA from 1 species